rnacentral:rRNA from 1 species
AAUAUUGGACAAUGGGCGAAAGCCUGACGCAGCGACGCCGCGUGAGGGAUGAAGGCCUUCGGGUCGUAAACCUCUGUCCUUGGGGACGAUGAUGACGGUACCCAAGGAGGAAGCCCCGGCUAACUACGUCCCAGCAGCCGCGGUAAUACGUAGGGGGCGAGCGUUGUCCGGAAUUAUUGGGCGUAAAGGGUGCGUAGGCGGCUUGGCAAGUCCUGUGUGAAAGGUCGCGGCUCAACCGCGGUGGGUCAUGGGAAACUGCUGAGCUUGAGUGCCGGAGAGGAUAGCGGAAUUCCACGUGUAGCGGUGAAAUGCGUAGAUAUGUGGAGGAACACCAGUGGCGAAGGCGGCUACCUGGACGAUAACUGACGCUGAGGCACGAAAGCUAGGGGAGCAAACA